rnacentral:tRNA from 1 species
UUAAUAGAAGCCAAAAUGAGGCUAUUCACUGUUAAUGAAUAAACUGAUAUUAAUCCUAUUAAG